UUCCUAAUCCUUCUUGGGCUAGUGGCUACCUGAGGUGUGUCCUUCUGAAGCUUACUGUGCAAACUCCAGGAACAAAGUCAAAUUAUGUAACCGGGGACUGUGGGCGGAGCUCACUGGUUGAGCACUUGCCUAGCAUGUGCAAAGCCCUGGGUUGAUGCCCAGCAUCAAAACCCCCAAAGCCAAAACAAAUGAACAUCAGGAACUCUGGGAGCACAGGGCAGGCUCUGCUCACAGGACAUUUGUUAAUAUCGCAUGGACCAAAGCAAGUCACACAGCCAAGCCCAACACGGGCGGGAGGCGCAGUGCGUUCCUUCCUCAGCUGGAGGCCCCGAGAGUUACUUGGCAUUUACAGGAGAACUAAGUCAUAAACACAGAAACUCUGUGGUCAAUAAAAGACUAAGCCGAAGAUCGGAUCAUCUGGCCCUUCAGAGGGAUUUGCCCAACACAUGAAGAGAAGAGCACCAUGGGAUCUGCUGGCACACCCCUGUAAUCCCAGCACCAGGACGACCGAGGGUCGCCAGCUUGAGAUCAUUCUAGGAUUACCUAGCAAAGAUGGGAGUAGGGAGUGGGCAGGAGAAGCUGAGGCAGAAGGUUCAUAGCAGAUUCAAGUCUAGCCUGGGCUACAUAGUGAGUUCUAAGCCAGCCUGAACUGCAUAGCCCCAACCUGUUUGGAAUAAAGAAGGAGGAGGAAAAGGAGGAGCAAGAGGAGGAAGAGGAGGAGAAGGAAAAGGAGACGGAGGAGGAGGAAGCUUGGUAGCACACAACCAGGAUCCUAGCACUCUAGAACCAGAGCGGAGAAUGUCAGAAAUUCUAGGUCACAGGGUCUUACUAUGUAGUCUGGCUUGGAAUUCUAUUAUGCAGACUAGGUUGGCUUUAAAAUCAUAGAGAACCCGUCCUGCCUCCUGAGGACAGAAGGUGAGCACCAGUGCACCGGCUCCUCUCCCUUUCUGAGUACGUAUCUCCUUUCUUGACCCUCUGGACAUUUUCACUCUUUUUCUGAAGACCCCACUUCUGCCACACAGCUGUUUGCUGGCCUCCAUCUCGGAGCCUGCGCCUUCUUGGACUGUAAUUUUAAAGAUGUGGCUUUCUCUCCUCUCCCUUUCCACUUACCUCCUCCUGGCAGCUGCUGAGCUUUGCAGUCUGCCUCUCCUCCAAACUCUCCCCGGACUCUACAUGCUGGUCCUUAAGUCCUUCUAAAUUCUUUUUAAAAAUUUGCAUCAAGGGGACUAAGAACCCAUGAAAGGAGGCCCCAAGCUCCCUGGUACCACGAAGACCUGUCUGUGUUCAGAUCACGGGACUCAUGGGAAAGAAAAAAAAAACUGGUUGUAGAGUACAUGUGAAAUCUCAUCACUGGGGGAGCCAGGCACAAGAAGGCUCUGGGGGUUC